GUCAGCACGCCCACACUAGGCCACAACAAUGGCCACCGCCAAUGUCCCAGUCCCUGGAGAGGUCUCACCCCUCACCCAGAUGCACUCAGGGCCUAUUAGAGAGCCGACACUCCUUCACUGGGAUGAAUGAGCAGAAGAGAGAGAGAGACCUGGCCCUCCCAGAACAGAGUGAAGCUGACAAGUGUUGUUAAAAACUCUCCAGGAGUGACAUCAGCGUCAUGGUGGAUUGAGCUUUCCCAUAAACUCUUCCCCCGAUAAGAUACAACAAAAGGAAUAGUCACAGACCAACAAUAGACUCCUAGACAGCAAAAAGCAAGAUCUGAAAGAUCCACACUGCUGCACAUCUGAGAGUGAAACGUGCUGGACCCCCAGAGGAAGUGGGUAGAGAUGCUGUUAACAAUCAGUGUUCCUAUUGAGGUAGCCAGGUGGGAUACUAACAGAGGAUGCUGGUUCCCUCAUUUGAUCCAAUCCUAUAGAUGCCGCAGAAGUGAGACGGAGGUGGUGUAUUUCGGUUAUUAAUAAAAACUGUGAGAAAUCCCUGGGAAGUCCAAGAUGAUUGAGUUCUGAUGUGCCUGAUGGAGGUGAGUGUUUAGGAGAAGGAAGCCAACCCAGGACAGAAGAAACUGGAAGCCACGGACAGGGAAAAUAUUGAGGGGAACAUUCUGAGUCCUUUUAAUUUCCUUACAAUGCCCUGGUUAGAACAUUGAUCGCCACCAUCCUACUGCAGGGCAGAGAAACAGCAUCAUCUUCCAGCAGCCACUGGAGGCAAUGUAGUGUUAUCAGGCACAACCAGAGAACCCUGAGGGUAGAAAGGUGAUAUCUGUAUGUGCAAAUGAAUGAGCUAGUCCUAAACUUUAACUCCCCUGCCAUCACUACCCAUGGGGGCCCUAUUGUCACUUUUAUUUGGGACAGCACCUCAUUGUGUGGGAUUUUUUCAUGCGUUAUAGCGUGUUUAGUAUCCCCAGCUUCUUGCCCUAAAUGUCUGUUGUAACCCAGCAUUAUUACAGCAACCCCCAAAUUUCACUCACAUAUUUACAAAUACCAUCUUUGGUUGAGAAACUCUGGUUUAGAUGAUUAGAUCCCAAGAGGACAAUACCUCUUGGGAAAAGCUGUGUUGGGUGGAGGUACAGAAAAGUCACUUGAGGUCAAUGUCACAUUAUGUGUGUGAGUGAGAGAAUGGGAAAUUGUUGAGAACAGAUCAAAAUGGGUUCUUAGCACUAAAGAACCCUUCUAAGAAUCUCUGUAAACUCACCACCAAGGGCACAAGCUAAAGCUUGGAAUUUUGCCUAUUCUCCUAGGGAGAUAUUACCAUUGGUAGUAACAGAUAAUCCUAGGGAAAUGUGACCUUACAGGAAACAAAAAAUGAGACAUCUGAAGAGAACAACCACUAUAUAAAAAAGGAAAAAAUUAAUUGACCACAUAGAGCAAGAAUUAGAAUUGUAGGGGAGCAGGAUUUGCUACCCCAAAAUGUAUCUCUUUGGCUUGAUUAUUUUUAAGAGCAAAAGACUCAGGAAGAAACUUUGACCUUCUUCCCUAACUGCCUAAAAGAAUUUAAGAUAGAAGGCCUGUUUCAGGAAGGAGCUAAUACCAUAGAUAACUAUAUUAUAAUAUGAACUAGGUGUGGUAGACAGAGAGGAACUUAGCAAGGCCCAUUUGAUCAAAGUCUUCUCCAUGUCCCAUUGUCUUUGCAAGGCAUGGCAAACAUUUGUUUACCAAACAUUUGCCUUUCCUUCUCAAUGUGCAUUGCCUUUCUCCCCUUUGAAGUCCAAAACCACUACCCCCAACAUCCUCCUUUGUCUUUAGCUGAAGAUAAUAUUUAAGGUGGUGGCUUUGGCCAUUUUGGUGAGUUACUCAGUUUUCCUGGAUUUCUCUCAUAUAUACAUGUUAUUAAAUUUGUCCGACUUUAUCCUGUUAUCCUGUUUCAUGUCAAUUUAAUUCUUAGACCAGCCAGAAGAACCUAGAGGGUAGAGGAAUAGUUCUUCCUCCCCUAUAGAGUUAAGCAUAAUAAAUAUCAAUAGAGAGAGAUAAAGUAGAGAUAUCAGUUGUCUGACUGUAAAGCAGAAACAAAGAGUCAUAAAAAACUAGUUGAAGAUUCUUAGUCUAAAAUAUAUAAUCACUGAAAUAAAUAAUAGUCUGGUGCAAGAGUAGAAUGUACACAAAAAUCAUAUUAGUGAGCUGGAAGAUCAGGUUGAGGAACUCUCCCAGAAAUCAUUAAGAAGGAGUAUAGAAUUCAAAGAAUAUGAAAGACAAGUUGAAAGAUAUGAAGCAAAGAAAUAAAAAUGUCAAUUCUACAUUUAAUAAGAAUCCCGAAAAGUGGGGUAAAAACCAAGGAAACAAAGAGACAAUGCAUUAUUUUCAGAUACAUGUGAAAAUCAAAGAUAGACCACAUACUGGGUCACAAGGGAAAUCUCAACAACUUUUAAAUUCAUCAUUUAAAUGGAAAUCACAAUGAAAUUACAAAAUAUUUGACAGUGAAUAACAAUGAAAGUACUUUAUAUCAAAUGUUGUAGAGUGCCAGCAAGUUACACUGAGAGGGAAACAUAUAACUGUAAAUGCAGCUAUCACAUGGCAAUGAGAAUUAAGACUAAACGAGCUAGAUGUCCAAGUCAAGAAUAGAAAAAGAACAGCAUAGUAAAUCUGAAGAAAGCAGAAGUAAUGACAUCAUAAAUAUAAGAGCAGAUACUAAUAGUGUAAGUGAGCAUAAGUGAGGCCAUCUUGUUACACUAAAUGGCCCCAGCCCCUCCUCCGUGUGACUGCUUGUUGCACUGCAGGUACUCCAAAAAAUUCACAUGCUCUCCUGAUUUACGGCCUCCACUUACAUCUGUGCUCCCCAAUAGCUUGAUAAAUUAAAAACUUUGUUCUAUGAGUUUCUCUCCAGGAACAGGCUGGCCACAGGUGGGAAACACACCUACAUGGUAUCCAUCAAAGCUGACAGAAGAAUGGAACAAUGUGAUGCCUGGAGCCCAUCACACCUGGAGACCAACAUCCCUGAACCCCUCCUCACUGCCCAUUUUCCCUGUAUAACUGCCUCAAGAUUCUGUAAUCUUUGAAGAUGUGUCUUUGAGACAUCAGUCACCUGUCUUCUGAUUUGCUGGCUAAUCUAAUUAAACUUCAUUUCUUGAUCUCUAACUCAUUGUGAUUAAUUGGCUCAGAUCAUGGUGAGCAGAGCGAGCCCAUUGCUCAGUAUCAAAAUCUGGCGACCCAGAUGGGACCAGCCUCUGCCCGUGGCUAGUCGACUUGCAGGAAGCUGUUUUGGGAUUUUUCCCCACAGCUGCUGGGCGGUUUUUUUUUCUGCCCAAGGAAUUCCCUUUUUGGCUUCCUUGCUUGCCGACUGCCUCGAACACUUCAGUGAUCAGGAAACGAAGGACUGGAUCAUAAGCUGAUGAGCUUACAUCUGCAGCUAGAAUCACACAGCACACUUCCAGUGCUUGUGACAUCAUCUGUGGGAACAUGAAGUUUGCAAUCUUUUCUGUCGUCAAGCCGGAAUUGUACACCUCAAUGUAGUCACUGCUGUUUGUAUGUUAACCCUUAGGCGGAAGCUGUGAGAACACAGCCCGACCGUCUUUUCCCCCUCUUAGUCUGUCUUGUCCAGCACCUUCUUUGCCGUCACUGUGUGGAAGUUAAAUUUGGGUUUAAAGUAAGCUGGACUUGGACUUCCUGCAAAAUAGGAACUUUCUGCCAGGAACCUGACUUCCUACACCGGUAUUGAGAAAUUAGAUCUUACCUCUUACCUCUUUGGCUUGUUUAGCACUGAUGUGAAAACUGUAUGCUCUGGCGGAGUGGGAUUUGGAUAAGUCCUAUAGUUAUCUGGACACCUGGAGUCAAGCUCUGCACCCUUUUCUUGGUCCAUUAAUUGUCAGACACAAACUUUAUUGCCAUGGGCACCACUCCGUCCAUUCCAAAAAAACAGCCCGCUAGGGUACAUGCUGGCCAGUUGGGCUAAUUUCAGUUAUAAGCCCAUGACAAAGAAAAGAAUGAUCUGUUACAGUAAUGUAGCCUAGCCCCAGUAUACACUGGGCUCAGAAGAAAAGUGGCCCCGAAACAGGUGGCUCAAUUAUGACAUGAUCUUGCAGCUAGAAUUAUUCUGCAAGAAGAAGGAAAAAAAGUAAUACAAUUCCCUAUGUUUAAGCCUUUGUGCUGCUAUAUCUAGACGAGGGAAGGGGCGACAACGGACCGAGGAGUCCUCUGGGCUCCUCCUCCUCCUCCCCUUUUUCCCAGGCCCACGGCUUGCCCAGGGGAAAAUGCCCGAAGGAUU